rnacentral:rRNA from 1 species
UACGUAGGGUGCAAGCGUUGUCCGGAAUUAUUGGGCGUAAAGAGCUCGUAGGCGGUUUGUCGCGUCUGCUGUGAAAACGCGAGGCUCAACCUCGCGCCUGCAGUGGGUACGGGCAGACUAGAGUGCGGUAGGGGAGACUGGAAUUCCUGGUGUAGCGGUGAAAUGCGCAGAUAUCAGGAGGAACACCGGUGGCGAAGGCGGGUCUCUGGGCCGAUACUGACGCUGAGGAGCGAAAGCGUGGGGAGCGAACAGG